rnacentral:rRNA from 1 species
UAGGGAAUCUUCGGCAAUGUGGGGAACCCUGACCGAGCAACGCCGCGUGAGUGAAGAAGGUUUUCGGAUCGUAAAGCUCUGUUGUUAAGGAAGAACGAGUGUGAGAAUGGAAAGUUCAUACUGUGACGGUACUUAACCAGAAAGGGACGGCUAACUACGUGCCAGCAGCCGCGGUAAUACGUAGGUCCCGAGCGUUGUCCGGAUUUAUUGGGCGUAAAGCGAGCGCAGGCGGUUAGAUAAGUCUGAUGUGAAAGCCCCCGGCUCAACCGGGGAGGGUCAUUGGAAACUGGUUGACUUGAGUGCAGAAGAGGAGAGUGGAAUUCCAUGUGUAGCGGUGAAAUGCGUAGAUAUAUGGAGGAACACCAGUGGCGAAGGCGACUCUCUGGUCUGUAACUGACGCUGAGGUUCGAAAGCGUGGGUAGCAAACAGG